rnacentral:rRNA from 2 species
GCAAGUCGAGCGGAGUUGAUGGAGUGCUUGCACUCCUAAUACUCAGCGGCGGACGGGUGAGUAACACGUAGGUAACCUGCCUGUGAGACUGGGAUAACUACCGGAAACGGUAGCUAAUACCGGAUAAUACAUUUUCUCUCCUGAGGGAAUGUUGAAAGGCGGAGCAAUCUGUCACUUACAGAUGGACCUGCGGCGCAUUAGCUUGUUGGUGAGGUAACGGCUCACCAAGGCGACGAUGCGUAGCCGACCUGAGAGGGUGAACGGCCACACUGGGACUGAGACACGGCCCAGACUCCUACGGGAGGCAGCAGUAGGGAAUCUUCCGCAAUGGACGAAAGUCUGACGGAGCAACGCCGCGUGAGUGAUGAAGGUUUUCGGAUCGUAAAGCUCUGUUGCCAGGGAAGAAGAUUCAGGAGAGUAACUGCUCUUGGAGUGACGGUACCUGAGAAG